UAGGGAAUCUUCCGCAAUGGACGAAAGUCUGACGGAGCAACGCCGCGUGAGUGAUGAAGGUUCUCGGAUCGUAAAGCUCUGUUGCCAAGGAAGAACGGCUUGGAGAGUAACUGCUCUGAGCAUGACGGUACUUGAGAAGAAAGCCCCGGCUAACUACGUGCCAGCAGCCGCGGUAAUACGUAGGGGGCAAGCGUUGUCCGGAAUUAUUGGGCGUAAAGCGCGCGCAGGCGGUCUGUUAAGUCUGGUGUUUAAUCCCGGGGCUCAACCCCGGUACGCAUCUGGAAACUGGCAGACUUGAGUGCAGGAGAGGAAAGCGGAAUUCCACGUGUAGCGGUGAAAUGCGUAGAGAUGUGGAGGAACACCAGUGGCGAAGGCGGCUUUCUGGACUGUAACUGACGCUGAGGCGCGAAAGCGUGGGGAGCAAACAG
rnacentral:rRNA from 1 species